AGGAGCCGCUACAUGCUUUCCUGGCCAUUUUCCCCUGAGAGCGGCCUUGGAGAUGGCUGUGACUGUCCUAAGCUGGGAGCUGCAAGGGAGAAUUCCUGUCAUUCCUGGCCUCAGCUCUGCAGGGACCAAGGGCGAGACACGCCUGGGCCCACGUGUGGCGUCUCUGUCCCCAUCUGGUUUUAGGCGUGUUACACCUCCACACGCACUAGGGAUCCAGGUAAGCCCAGCGGCCCGAACGUCAUUACUGACUGGUGACACUGCACUUUCCUGAAGACAUGAACCAUUUACCCCAGAUAAAAUAUGACCAAACAGACUCCUGCUUACAAUUUCCGUGGGCAGGUUGGCCACCUGUAGCUCAUCCCUAGCACUGAUCCUAAGUCCC